AGGCCGGAGCCCAGGGUCUGUCUGGCAGGCAGACAGGUGCCAGCAGCUCGCAGCCUGGCGUUCCCGCUCUGGGGGCCGUCCGGGAACAGAGGCGCGCGAAGUGCGCGUGCGCGGCGGCGGAGGCGGUGGCGGCGCGAGGCAGAGCCAGAGCCCGGGGUCGGUCAAUCAGAUUAGACUCCAGAGAUAAUGAUAUUAGGAAAUCCAAACUGAAAUGGACCCCAGAGCAAUUGAAGAAAGAAAGAGUCAAGACAAAAAAAAGUUGCUGAUUCCAGUCUAGAGGAAACAGUAAGGAAGAGAAAAGAGAAAUUCUCAUUAUAGCCAUGGCAAAGGAAGGGACAUUUUUAUGGACUACAUCUCUGCCUGGAUGGCUGUCUCUAACUGGAUUUUGCCAAUAUAUGCUGAUUUGAGUUGGAGUUUCACUCUGUCGCCCAGGCUGGAGCGCAGUGGUGCGAUUGCGGCUCACUGCAACCUCUGCCUCCAGGGUUCAAGCGAUUCUCCUGCCUCAGCCUCCCGAGUAGCUGGGACUACAGACAUGUGCCACCACACUCAGGGGGAGAUAUGAAAUUAUCCAGGAAUGGCAAUUUGACCACAAAAUACAUGAACAGAUGGUUCUUGCCUUUGAAUGGGAAAAGAUGCUGCCUAGUCCAUCUUGUAUUGGAAAAUGUUGUGACUCAGUGCAAAUUUUACACUUUUGGAUGCAUUUGGAUUUCUUGGAUGUUGUAAGCACUUCUCCUUCCUGCCACCACGUGAAGAAGGACAUGUUUGCUUCCUCUUCCACCAUGAUUGUAAGUUUCCUGAGGCCACCAAGUCCUGCAGAACUGAGAUUUUUACACCUAUCUGUGAUGCUAUCUUGUGACCAUGAGGAGUGCUAAGCUGAAUCACAAAUCCACCAUGCUGAGGACAGCACAACAAAGACUUGGGGACUUAAUGGUUUCAACCAGUCACUGGGUUAACAAACCCUGGAACAAUCCCACCUCAAAACUUCAGUUACCUGUCCUGCUGACGUCAGACCCAGCACCAGGUGCAGAAGCAACCAUCAUACAAAAAUCAAGCUUCCUUAAUUAUAGAUGGAGUCUCCCUGUGUUGGCCAGGCUGGUCUUGAGCUCCUGGGCUCAAGCAAGCCUUCCACUUCAGCCUCCAGCAAUCCUCCCACCUUGGCCUCCCACAGUGCUGGGAUUACAGGUGUGAGUCACUGAACCUAGACUUGACUUUAGCUUCUUGAAGAGGAAAUUUUGAUCUUUGCUUUUAAACCUUUCUCAUUUCAAAUACAAAUAUUUAAAACUGUACAUUUUCCACUAAACACAGCUUUUGAUUGGGUCUCACAUAAUUUGGUAUAAUGUAUUUUAAUUUUUAUUCAGUUUUAAAUAUGUGCUAAUUUCCCUUUGGAUUUCUUUUUUGAUCCAUAGUA
rnacentral:lncRNA from 1 species